rnacentral:lncRNA from 1 species
UUUUGAUCCAGAAAAUAGUAGUCAUGUUUUGGUCAUUCUGAGAUAGUCAUGGAAAAUUACAACACAGAUGUUCAUACGGGAUCUUCCUUCUAUUGCCCAGUGCCCCGUGAAGCCCUUGAACAAAACCAGAAGAAAGUGAAAAAUAAACAGCCUUAUACGGUUGUCAUCAUCCUAUCCCCAGUGAUGGAGCCAUACUUGGGUCUGAAAUAUUUUGACACAGAUGAAGCAAGUCUUUGCAAUUUCCAAAGGAAAGGCUUCUGUGACACACUCUCUUGUUUGAAGGAGUGACAAUAACCUGAGAAUUGCUCUUCCCUUCUUUCUCAUUGCAGGAAAUACGAAUCCUAACAUGAUGAAUUCCCAAGUAUUUUAAAUGAUAAUAAAAUAUUUCCAGCUCAAGUAGAUAUUCAAAUGAGAGCGAUGUUGCUAAGAGCUGAGCCUUGGAAAAGGCCUGGAAAACGCUGCAGUAAAAACUCUCCGGACUUUCUCUGUGUAUUCUCUAACUCAACUGGCAACAUGAGCCACUAAAUGAUGCUAAAGACACAGGUUUCAUUGCAUUCUUGACUUUUUUGCUCUUCGGCCAAAUGUCAGCGCCCCCAAUUCACGGCUCCAAGAGGACCUGUCCGUGAGAGCACCAGCCCAGCCCCCACCUGUGUGAAUGAAGAGACCCAUGUAUCCAGAAAACUACAAGUGACAUGUGCAGAGUGACAGCGAGAGCCCUGAUCACAGUUCCUGUUUCUGUCCAGGGCUGCUUGUACCACAACAGGCCAUCAGAUGGACGCUGUCCACAGUCUAUUACGGCAAGGGGGCAGGAGGCCUGGUGGGAGCCGGUAAAUGACUCUGCCCUCUGGGAGGGAUACCGGGGUGGUUGGGGAACGCAUCUGCUGUGCGCCACACCCUCGUCUCCAGGCCCUGCGUGCUCAGUGGGCUCUCAGUUGCCAGGUCCGACCUGGGUGGAACAUCGUUUCCGAGCUCUGUCUCGAAGUGAGUUCCAUAGACAGUUUGGUCCUAGGUCCUAAAUCUCCCUGCUUUCUGGCAUAUCAUCUUACGGCUCUUAUAGGCGCGCGCACACACACACACACACACACACACACACACACACACACAAUCUGUCCUCUCCAUCCAAACACAAAGGCUUUUUU